GCUUACGGCCACACCGCCUGGUUCACGCCAGAUCUCGUUUGAUCUCGGAAGCUAAGAUAGGUUGGGCCUGGUUAGUACUUGGAUGGGAGACCGCCUGGGAAUACCAGGUGCUGUAAAAA
rnacentral:rRNA from 1 species